UAUCCUGGCUCAGGAUGAACGCUAGCUACAGGCUUAACACAUGCAAGUCGAGGGGCGAGCAUGGGAGUUUUGCUUGCAAACUUCCGAUGGCGACGGCGCACGGUGAGUAACACGUAUCCAACCUGCCGAUAACUCGGGGAUAGCCUUUCGAAGAAAGAUUAAUAUCCGAUAGGAUAUCAAGGUCGCAUGAUCUUGAUAUUAAGAAUUCGGUUAUCGAUGGGGAUGCGUUCCAUUAGUUAGUUGGCGGGGUAACGGCCCACCAAGACGACGAUGGAUAGGGGUUCUGAGAGGAAGGUCCCCCACAUUGGAACUGAGACACGGUCCAAGCUCCUACGGGAGGCAGCAGUGAGGAAUAUUGGUCAAUGGACGAGAGUCUGAACCAGCCAAGUAGCGUGAAGGAUGACUGCCCUAUGGGUUGUAAACUUCUUUUAUAUGGGAAUAAAACAGGGUAUGCAUACCCUCUUGUAUGUACCAUAUGAAUAAGGAUCGGCUAACUCCGUG
rnacentral:rRNA from 1 species